rnacentral:lncRNA from 1 species
AAUAAAUAAAUAAAUAAUUCCACAGGAGGAAAAAAAUGCGUUCUGAAAGGAUCAGGAUUUUCAAAGGCCCCAAGCUUCAACAUAUCCGAGGAUCGAAGGCCUGAAUAAAGUGGCAUCACAGAAGUGUGAGAACAGCCUUUCCCCAUUCUCCGGAGUGGAUCCAUGAGCCAGGAGUCAGGCCUGCACUUUGAGGAGCGGAAGUGCUUUUGUGAGGACAAGCAAGAAUGUCUUGUAAUUUCAACUACCCUUAAAGCUGUUUCAGGGUUCCCUGAUAAUGAACUAACUGAUACUGGGACUUCCCUUCUCCAUCCCCCAAAGAAAAGCUGCGUUCCAACUCAACACCUCAUAGAACCAGAGCCCCCUAAUAUCCCUAGGUGUGGGCAGCUGGCAUUCCCCAACAUUCCCCUAACACCCAGCACCUAAGCUAAGAAUGCUUGGGGCCUGAACCCCAAAUGUUUAUUCAGCCAUGUAAAGCCACUUGCACACUUGUCCUAUAAAAAAGGAAAGCAACAGAAUGUUUUUCUCCUCUUGGAGCAGAGCCCCACAGUGAAUCUAGCAAUGCACUGGCUCAAACAUGCCCCCUUUUCAGCAGCAUGCUGAAAGAAAUAGGAUCCAUGCGUCAGCUGGAAUUUCUAUCUCUGAGUUUCUACCUAAACUAAGUGAUACUUUCUGUUAUUCCCAGUCACAUCAAAACAAAUGUGAGAUUCAAAUUUUAAACUGGGCUAUACUGUAACAAAUUAGACUUGACUCUUUUUGUUUUGUUUUGUUUAAAUAACAGAAAGUGACUAGAAAACUAUAGGAUCCACCUAAGAUGCUAAGACAUGGCAAAGUGAGACC